AUUGAACGCUGGCGGCAGGCCUAACACAUGCCAGUCGAGCGGAUGAAGGGAGCUUGCUCCUGGAUUCAGCGGCGGACGGGUGAGUAAUGCCUAGGAAUCUGCCUGGUAGUGGGGGAUAACGUCCGGAAACGGGCGCUAAUACCGCAUAUGUCCUGAGGGAGAAAGUGGGGGAUCUUCGGACCUCACGCUAUCAGAUGAGCCUAGGUCGGAUUAGCUAGUUGGUGGGGUAAAGGCCUACCAAGGCGACGAUCCGUAACUGGUCUGAGAGGAUGAUCAGUCACACUGGAACUGAGACACGGUCCAGACUCCUACGGGAGGCAGCAGUGGGGAAUAUUGGUCAAUGGGCGAAAGCCUGAUCCAGCCAUGCCGCGUGUGUGAAGAAGGUCUUCGGAUUGUAAAGCACUUUAAGUUGGGAGGAAGGGCAGUAAGUUAAUACCUUGCUGUUUUGACGUUACCAACAGAAUAAGCACCGGCUAACUUCGUG
rnacentral:rRNA from 1 species